GGCUGCAGGAAGGUUCUAGGUCCGGCAAAGGAGCGCCUUUCUCAAUGAAGAGCUUCGGGAAGUCUGCAGGCGCCCCCUGCUGCACACGCACGGACGAUGCUGGACAUGCUCGAAGAUGCUUUCAGUCACUCUGGAAGAUUCUCCGCUCCUUUCCAUGCUCCUGAACCAGCUGAAGGACCUUGAAGGGUAGAGGAAGCAGUUUUCCUUCCCCACACUUUGAAGGAUGUCUCUUCUGGAAUUCUGACGGGGAUGGUCCUUGAACACAGGACCUUGUUGGGUGUGCAUCGACCUGCACAGCACACUGGCUCCGUGCCGGUUCUCUGUGCCUCUGGCUGUGCCCAAAACACACCUGCCAGCAGCCCUGUGCAAAAGCGGCGUUUUUCCCAUCUCCGCAGCCUCACCGCUGCAAACCGCUGCGGACCAGGGCGUGAGAGAUUCCCCAGCUCUGUGAGGCGUUUGGGUGCAGGAGAUAAUUGCUUUUUGGGACACUGAGCUCCUCAGAGGGUGACAUUAAUGCUCCUGCCGACUCAUCAGGGAGGUCAGGCCUUAGUUCCAGCUGGAAGGAAGUUGUUUAGGACAGAACCGCCAAGUUUAUGGCAUGUGAUGGAUUUUCCUCACAGGGGAGACCUUGGGGCUGAGGACAGAAGUUGGGGCGCAGAAUUUCAAAUGGAGAUGAGGUAGGUCAGGAAAUGAUGGGUCCUGUGUUGUCUUGUGGCUCCAAUGACUUGGUGAAGGAAAAAGAUGUAUAUAUUCUAUGUAUAUGAAGUUA